UAUGGCCAUAUUAUGUUGAAACACCAGUUCGCAUAUGAUCACUAAUGUUAAGCAAUUACGAACUUGGUCAGUACCUAUAAGGGUGACCACUUGGGAAUACCAAGUGCUGUAAG